rnacentral:rRNA from 1 species
AAUGAACGUUGGCGGCAUGGAUUAGGCAUGCAAGUCGUGCGACAAGCCUAGCUUGCUAGGUGGAGGAGCGGCGAAAGGGAGAGUAACGUGUGGUUACUUGCCCUCGGGUCCGGGAUAGCGUCGGGAAACUGGCAGUAAUACCGGAUAACAUUUACGAAUCAAAGGUGUGAUUCCGCCCGAGGAUAGGACCGCAUACUAUUAGCUUGUUGGCGGGUAAUGGCCCACCAAGGCAACGAUGGUUACCGGGUGUGAGAGCAUGGCCCGGCUCACUGGGACUGAGACACUGCCCAGACACCUACGGGUGGCUGCAGUCGAGAAUCUUCGGCAAUGGGCGAAAGCCUGACCGAGCGAUGCCGCGUGCGGGAUGAAGGCCCUCGGGUUGUAAACCGCUGUCAGUAGUUAGGAAAUGCCAUGGGGCAC